AGUGGGUGCGAGCAUCUUUGUGGUCAAGUUAUGUAGGGCACAUGGUGGAUGUCUGGGCACUAGGGGCCGAUGAAGGACGUGGGAGGCUGCGAUAAGCCUCGGGGAGUUGUCAACCGAGCUGUGAUCCGAGGAUGUCCGAAUGGGGAAACCCGGCACCCGUGAUGGGGUGUCACCCGCCGGUGAAUAUAUAGUCGGUGUGGAGGGAACGCGGGGAAGUGAAACAUCUCAGUACCCGUAGGAAGAGAAAACACUAGUGAUUCCGUGAGUAGUGGCGAGCGAAAGCGGAGGAGGCUAAACCGCAUGCGUGUCAAGCUGUCAGGUGUUGCGUGUGUGGGGUUGUGAGACCCGUCGUCCAGGAGCUGACACUUCUGGCGCCAGAUCGCAUGGUUAGUGGAACACGUUGGGAUGCGUGGCCGUAGUGGGUGAGAGUCCCGUACGCGAAAACUGUGUGGGUGUGGUGUGGUGGUGUUCUCGAGUAGCAGCGUUUCCGUGGAGGGCGCUGUGAAUCUGCCGGGACCACUCGGUAAGCCUAAAUACUUCCUGGUGACCGAUAGCGGACGAGUACCGUGAGGGAAAGAUGAAAAGUACCCCGGGAGGGGAGUGAAAGAGUACCUGAAACCGUGUGCCUGCAAGCCGUCAGAGCCUUCGGGUGAUGGCGUGCCUUUUGAAGAAUGAGCCUGCGAGUUCGUGCUGCGUGGCGAGGUUAACCCGUGUGGGGUAGCCGUAGCGAAAGCGAGUCUGAAUAGGGCGUGUGAGUUGCGUGGUCGAGACCCGAAGCGGAGUGAUCUACCCAUGGCCAGGCUGAAGCGUCGGUAAGACGGUGUGGAGGGCCGAACCCACCAGGGUUGAAAACCUGGGGGAUGAGUUGUGGGUAGGGGUGAAAGGCCAAUCAAACUCCGUGAUAGCUGGUUCUCCCCGAAAUGCAUUUAGGUGCAGCGUCACAUGUUUCACUGUGGGGGUAGAGCUACUGGGUGGCUGAUGGGCCUGAUCGGGUUACUGACGUCAACCAAACUCCGAAUACCAUGGUGUGAGAGUGUGGCAGUGAGACAGCGGGGGAUAAGCUUCGUUGUCGAGAGGGAAACAGCCCAGAACUCCGGCUAAGGCCCCUAAGUGUGUGCUUAGUGGAAAAGGAUGUGGAAUUGCCCAGACAACCAGGAGGUUGGCUUAGAAGCAGCCAUCCUUGAAAGAGUGCGUAAUAGCUCACUGGUCAAGUGGUUCUGCGCCGAUAAUGUAGCGGGGCUGAAGUACACCGCCGAAGCCGAGUCACUGCAACAACUGCUAACGCGGGUUGUGGUGGGUAGGGGAGCGUCCUGGGCCCGGUGAAGCCGUGACGGAAGUUAACGGUGGAGGGUGUGGGAGUGAGAAUGCAGGCAUGAGUAGCGAAUGUACAGUGAGAAUCUGUACCGCCGGAUGACCAAGGGUUCCUGGGCCAGGUUGUUCCGCCCAGGGUGAGUCGGGACCUAAGGCGAGGCCGUCAGGCGUAGUCGAUGGAUAACGGGUUGAUAUUCCCGUACCCGCGUGUGUGCGUCCAUAGCGAGGCGAGGGAUACUAACCACCUGAAGCCGCAUCGUGUUCUUCGGAAGAUGGUGUUGGUGGAGCGUGGGGCCUGAUCUUGUAGUAGUUAAGUGAUGGGGUGACGCAGGAAGGUAGCUCCGCCAGUGAGUGGUUGUACUGGUGUAAGCGUGUGGCCCGCAGGAUAGGCAAAUCCGUUCUGCAUGAGGGUGAGGCGUGAUGCGUAGCCGUUGUGGUGAAGUAGAGUGAUCCUAUGCUGUCGAGAAAAGCCUCUAGCGAGUGCGUGCGUGGCCCGUACCCUAAACCGACACAGGUGGUCAGGUAGAGAAUACUAAGGCGAUCGGGUGAACUAUGGUUAAGGAACUCGGCAAAUUGCCCCCGUAACUUCGGGAGAAGGGGGGCCAAGCCUGCUGAAACCCUUUUCGGGUUAGGUGGGAGUGGCCGCAGAGACCAGCGGAAAGCGACUGUUUACUAAAAACACAGGUCCAUGCGAAGACGCAAGUCGAUGUAUAUGGACUGACGCCUGCCCGGUGCUGGAACGUUAAGAGGACCGGUUAACCGUUUCGACGGUGAAGCUGAGAAUUUAAGCGCCAGUAAACGGCGGUGGUAACUAUAACCAUCCUAAGGUAGCGAAAUUCCUUGUCGGGUAAGUUCCGACCUGCACGAAUGGCGUAACGACUUUCCGGCUGUCUCAACCAUAGGCCCGGCGAAAUUGCACUACGAGUAAAGAUGCUCGUUUCGCGCGGCAGGACGGAAAGACCCCGGGACCUUUACUAUAGCUUGGUAUUGGUUUUCGGUUCGGCUUGUGUAGGAUAGGUGGGAGACUGUGAAGCUGACACGCUAGUGUUGGUGGAGUCGUUGUUGAAAUACCACUCUGGUCGUGCUGGGAAUCUAACUUCGGACCAUGAUCUGGUUCAGGGACAGUGCCUGGUGGGUAGUUUAACUGGGGCGGUUGCCUCCUAAAGGGUAACGGAGGCGCCCAAAGGUUCCCUCAGCUUGGUUGGUAAUCAGGUGUUGAGUGUAAGUGCACAAGGGAGCUUGACUGUGAGACUGACGGGUCGAGCAGGGACGAAAGUCGGGACUAGUGAUCCGGCACCUCCUGGUGGAAGGGGUGUCGCUCAACGGAUAAAAGGUACCCCGGGGAUAACAGGCUGAUCUUGCCCAAGAGUCCAUAUCGACGGCAUGGUUUGGCACCUCGAUGUCGGCUCGUCGCAUCCUGGGGCUGGAGUUGGUCCCAAGGGUUGGGCUGUUCGCCCAUUAAAGCGGCACGCGAGCUGGGUUUAGAACGUCGUGAGACAGUUCGGUCCCUAUCCGCCGCGCGCGUAGGAGACUUGCGGAAGGCUGUCCCUAGUACGAGAGGACCGGGACGGACGAACCUCUGGUAUGCCAGUUGUCCCGCCAGGGGCAUGGCUGGUUGGCUACGUUCGGAAGGGAUAACCGCUGAAGGCAUCUAAGCGGGAAGCCUGUUCCUAGAUGAGGUCUCCCACCCCGUUGUGGGUUAAGGCCCCCAAGAGAUGAUUGGGUUGAUAGGCCAGACAUGGAAGCGCAGUAAUGUGUGUUUGAGUGGACUGGUACUAAUCGGCCGAGGACUUGCCUACAA
rnacentral:rRNA from 1 species